rnacentral:rRNA from 1 species
GAUAAACGCUGGCGGCGUGCUUAACACAUGCAAGUCGAACGAAGUUUUUCUUUCGGGAGGAACUUAGUGGCGGACGGGUGAGUAACGCGUGGGUAACCUGCCCUGUACAGGGGGACAACAGCUGGAAACGGCUGCUAAUACCGCAUAAGCCCUUAGCACUGCAUGGUGCAUAGGGAAAAGGAGCAAUCCGGUACAGGAUGGACCCGCGUCUGAUUAGCCAGUUGGCAGGGUAACGGCCUACCAAAGCGACGAUCAGUAGCCGAUCUGAGAGGAUGUACGGCCACAUUGGGACUGAGACACGGCCCAGACUCCUACGGGAGGCAGCAGUGGGGAAUAUUGCACAAUGGAGGAAACUCUGAUGCAGCGACGCCGCGUGAGUGAAGAAGUAUUUCGGUAGGUAAAGCUCUAUCAGCAGGAAAGAAAAUGACGGUACCUGACUAAGAAGCACCGGCUAAAUACGU